rnacentral:rRNA from 1 species
CCUACGGGAGGCAGCAGUAGGGAAUAUUGCUCAAUGGGGGAAACCCUGAAGCAGCCACGCCGCGUGGAGGAUGAAGGUUUUCGGAUUGUAAACUCCUUUUGUUAGAGAAGAUAAUGACGAUAUCUAACUAAUAAGCACCUGCUAACUCCGUGCCAGCAGCCGCGGGAAUACGGAGGGUGCAAGCGUUACUCGGAAUCACUGGUCGGAAAGAGCACGUAGGCGGGAUAGCAAGUCAGAUGUGAAAUCCUAUGGCUUAACCAUAGAACUGCAUUUGAAACUGGUAGUCUAGAGUAUGGGAGAGGUAGGUGGAAUUCUUGGUGUAGGGGUAAAAUGCGUAGAGAUCUAGAGGAAUACUCAUUGCGAAGGCGACCUGCUAGAACAUAACUGACGCUGAGGCGCGAAAGCGUGGGGAGCAAACAGGAUUAGAUACCCGGGUAGUC